GCUCCAGUAGCUCAGGGGUUAGAGCACUGCUCUUAUAAAGCAGGGGUCGGUGGUUCAAUCCCACCCUGGAGCACCG
rnacentral:tRNA from 1 species